UACGUAGGGUCCAAGCGUUAUCCGGAAUUACUGGGCGUAAAGCGUGUGUAGGCGGCGUGUUAAGUGAAAUGCGAAAUCUUGUGGCUCAACCAUAUAGACUGUAUUUCAUACUGGCAUGCUUGAGGACGGCAGAGGCAAGUGGAAUUGGUAGUGUAGCAGUGAAAUGCGUAGAUAUUACCAGGAACACCAAUGGCGAAGGCAGCUUGCUGGGCCGUAUCUGACGCUGAGACACGAAAGCGUGGGGAGCGAACAGG
rnacentral:rRNA from 1 species